UACGUAGGGGGCAAGCGUUAUCCGGAUUUACUGGGUGUAAAGGGAGCGCAGGCGGCAUGAUAAGUCUGAUGUGAAAACCCAAGGCUCAACCAUGGGACUGCAUUGGAAACUGUCGUGCUGGAGUGUCGGAGAGGUAAGCGGAAUUCCUAGUGUAGCGGUGAAAUGCGUAGAUAUUAGGAGGAACACCAGUGGCGAAGGCGGCUUACUGGACUGUAACUGACGCUGAGUCACGAAAGCGUGGGUAGCAAACAGG
rnacentral:rRNA from 1 species